rnacentral:lncRNA from 1 species
CCUUUGUGAUGGGUCUUCUAUGUAACCAGGUUUGUUUGAUUGACCCGAUUAGGGCUCGUCUGAUUUCUGGAUUAAUUUUCAAUGUAAAAAUUUAUGGGGUGUGCGAAUAAUGAUGCAAAAGGCUAAAGCAAAUCCUGUCCAAAGAGAGAGGUAGAGCUAUCUUUUGAUGCCAGAAGUGCACUGUUCUAUCUUUAAACUUUCUCUAAGAAAUCCAAAAUAUUAGGGAUUUCUAAAAUAUGAAUGGUGUUAAUUUUUAGAUUUGUUUGUAAAAUUUUUUUAGCUUUUAAAUAUGAUUGGCUCUAAAGGUAAUAUUAUGGUGUUUCGCACCAUGAACUCGCACCCGCACUACACCCGCGGGUGAGUGUGCGUGGUAGUGGGUAAUGUGGCGCUUUGAUGACACACUUUGCACUUAGCACGUCAGCAUGAGCCACCAUAAGAAGCCUUUUCUUAUCUUAUUGCCACUUGGCGACAUGUGGCAGUGACAUAGAACAUGAUGUGGCACAUACGCGGCAUUAGAGUUAAUUGACCCUUAAUGGUUAAUUAACCAAGGGAUGUGAUGGUUAGAGAAAUUGCGAUCGCAACCGUUGAUUAUAAUCAGUGUAAUCGGACAGAUAUAAUUAAAUCCGAAAGGUUGUGAAUGCAACAUCCCGAAAUUUUAAAAUAUCUAAUUAAGUAUAUUGAUUAUAAAUGGACACGAUAAAUACAAUAGGUACAAUAUAAUGUUAUUUAUGUUAAUUAAUAUAUGUUAUUGUCAAGUUUAAGUACGAUUUUUUGAGAAUUUUUACGAAAACAUAACUUUUACACGAAAAGAUUUUUUGUUAAUAGUAUACAUAAAAGAGACACAAUCAAGCAUGUAUAACUGAUGGAUCAAUAGAGACCACAUGGUGAACCCCAUGAGUCAUUAUGUGAUUUAAUCACCUAUGCCCCCAAAGUCCAAUCCCUCUCAACCACCCAUGUCACCUAAGUCCAAUCCAUCUAACCACCCCCACAUGCAUUUCACAUUUUAGCUGGGACUGUAAUGGCCCAACUUUUCCCAACCAUUUUGCUGGAUUUGACAUAUAAGAGAGAGAAAGAAGAGAAGCGAAAAGAGAGAGAAGAAUAGAGAGAAAGAGAGAGAGGGAGUUGCAAAGAAGAAAGAAGAGAGAGAGAAAAGAAGAGAGGAAGAAGAAAAAGAAAGGAAAAAGGAAUCGAAGACACGAAAAACACGAAUUCGAGCUAGUUUCACGAGGUAACCUCAUGAAUCUUUCUUAUUUCUUUACGUAUUUUCAGUUUAAGAAGGGUUUAAAUGUUUUAGGAUUGAGUGAUAUACUCUAUCUUAGUUAAAGUUAAGAAAUACCAUAAAAUACGGCUCAAGAAAGCCAUUUUAGGAUCUUAUGUCAAGUAUGGAACUCUGUUAUGUUUUUUGUUUUAAAACCACCGUUAUUAUUUUGGCCAAAACUCCCCCAUAUCAAAUCUUGUUUAUUAUUCAAGUGUCACAGAAUUCGCUACUUCAAAUACCUACAGUUUGCUUCAAAAGUAUUUUUUCCAAUUCAAGUUAUAAGAUGACCCAAAAUAAGUUUAAGUCGAGUCAGAAAGCUGAUUUCUCAUUUUUCCCCAUUCAAACGGGUUGAACUUUUUUUUUCUCAACCGGUGAACAGGUUUUUUUAAAGCUAAUGGAUCAUGCCAGCGGGUUGAAUAGUUUUUCUCAGACCGGUUGAACUUUUUCUCAACCGGUUGAAAUAUUUUUUCCAAUCGGUUGAGGGAAAAAAACCUUACAAACCCAAUUUUGGCUCAACGAAACAUCUCCGGUUAGUCAGUACUUGAUUAAAUAACUUAAUUACAUUGUAACACUUAGUAAAUGUUUUUUCAUACUAUCAUGUCCCAAUAAAUAAUAUACAUAUAAAUCAUCCACAGCCUAGAAACACACGAACGAGAAUAACACAAUACCUACGCAAGCAAGGUAAGUAACUUUAAUCUUUAAAAUAAAAUAAAUUACUCUUUUAUGCUAUGAUUUAUGCAUAAAAUUAUGUUACGCUAUGCAAAUUAAACACAUGAAUUAGAUAAGAAUCUUUCGAAAAGAUUUCGUAUGUAUAUGCCUAUGCAUCAUUAUUUUUCUACUUUGGGAAGGUACUCGGCCGGCAUACCCCGACUCAAGGGUGUGUGAAAAUAUGUUAUUAGACCCGACUAAGGAUGGGAGGUCAUAGUGCAUAAUGUAUAUUUCAAGAAUUAUGUUGACUCAAAUAUAGUCAAACUACAUGUACAAAUAUGAAUUUUGAACAAGUUUUAUCUUUCUCUAUGCUAUGUGUGUUAUAUGCAUCUACCAUUGUAUUUUCUUACUUUUGAUAUGAUAUCAUCUUGUUAGAGAUGAUAUGAUACGCUAAGCAAUCAUGUUUAGAACAUUAUUUUCUGACAAUUUUUUCAGGAAACAAAGAACAGGAAGUGUGGAGCAGAGCAUAGAACACGUUUGAGUUUCAUGCUUGAUAAUGUAAACUUUAUUAAGAUAGGUUAAGUCAGUCAUUAAUAAACAAUCAAUGUGAAGGUGUCUAGCCCGGACUAUGACUGUCCAAGGUCAUUUUGAACAAUGCAAUGUAUGAACUUUAUGUAUGAAUUGUUUUAGACACGUACAGUCCUCUUACCGUUAUGGGCACGUAAUUUUUGAAUGAAUGAAUUUAAGUAUACUGAUUUCUAGUUAGUGCUUCCAAACACAUAAAAUACGUAACGUUUAAAAAAUUAAGAGAAAAAAAAAGGCCACAAAAUCGGGUAACUCUGACCCGGCGCCGCGUGGAGGCCCUCUUGAUCUGCGUCAGGGUGUAUAUCACAGUGACCCCGUACAAAUUGAUCCAAACGCUGUCACAACUGUCGCAAUGAUUAUGAUUACGACGUGUGGUGUGUGUAGCCGAUAAAUACAGACCACCACAGCUUAGACCCCCAGAAAACACUACCAAAAGUGCGCUGUCUGAACUUACUUUUUGGCGACAAAAUCUCUUGAGCCUUUUUUCUGUCUACUAUGCUGAUUAUUCUGCAAAAAUGGGGAGACAGAGGCUCGAAUGAGAAGACCGACGGGGGUAGUAGGAUGCAGACUUUAGAGAGAUGAGAGUGCAGGAGGAACUAUUGUACGACGAUAUUGGAAGAGCACGGGGGUGGUGAAAACUUAAGCUGGAAUCCAUAAGUUUGUGUGUUUUGCUCCCAAAUUUUUCAACAUACACUUACCACCGCCAAGCUUACUCCCGCAAUAACUUUGUUUCACAUUAGUGUCUCCGCCCAUCAGCCUAUCUACAAGCCAGAUUUUUGAACUAGUGCCACUAAUUGAGCACUGCUGCUGCACUUGCGCCAGAGCUGUCCGAGUAUGAUUAGUGGCUUUCUUGUCAAUCCACCCAUCUCUCUUAUCACAUCAGAAGUUAGUGACUUACGGGCUUCUACUUUGGAACACACAGUGACAAGUGUGCGGACGUGGACUGUCUGUGCUCCUCCUAGGGGCCGUGAAAACCCCAAUGUGGGGCGUGGACGUGACCCGGAAUGGCUCUUUCCAUCUUUAGCUCACUCGACUACUUAAACCUCAAUAUCUCAACUGUCCACUGGUCCUCGUCAUUACGUUUUUGAAAUUGGGCUAGAUCACAUAACUGGCCUCUGAUGUAGAGUUUCUUCAAGUCCUUCAUGUUGGCUGGCCUCAGCCAACUAUAUAGACUCAGUCCCAUUGGAAAUGAAGUCCAUUUUCGUGCAGCGAGGAAGGAAUUCCGAAAGGGGAAUUGGUCACUUUGAAUUUGUGACUUAAUAGAUUUAGGGGGUUUGCAUUGCUUUCACCUAUAAAAUAGAACCCUCCCCAAGACAUUGCUAGCCUUUGCACAACACCAAAAAUCAAAUUUCUAAGACAUGAAAGUGUUGACAAUUCGUUGAAUGUACAUGGCCUUUAUUGUACUUGAAAUCACCAAUGAAAAAUCCUUCAAGGACUUCGAGGUUUCCUUGGUUAGCAAGCCUCUUGGGCAUGUAUUCUAAAAACUAACACUCAGACGUGUCAUUAGAGUUUCAUAAUUUUGUUGAUAAGCAAAAAAUUAAACGCCAAUCUCAUUUUCACAAUGACAAACUGUUGGUUUGACUAGUUUAAGGAAGUUUGUUCCAAAACAGCUAGCCAAACUGGCAACAAAAGUUUUAAUUUGCUGCAACAAAAAUUGAUACCACUUAAUAAAAUCCAUUACAAUUAAAGAUAAUAAAAAAUCAGAAUUACAGAAGAAGAAGAAGAAGAGAAUACGAAGAGCAAAGAAAAGAAGAAGCCUCCAACUCAUGAUUCCAAUUUCUAACACUGCUUUGUACUUCUUUUAUAUGUUCAUCCACUCACCGCGUUCAUCACAUUGGAAGUUAGUGAGCUUGGGGCAUUCUACUUUCUGCAAGUAAACUAAUUUUGGAAAUAGUCUACCCAGUUCUUCCCAAUUCAUUUUAAGAUCACUCAAGUACUUUAAACACCAUAUCUCAACUGUCCACCGGCCCUCCUCCUAAUUAAGUUGCUGAACCUGGCCCAGAUCACUUAAUGUCCCUCUUCUGAUGUAGAGCUUCUUUAGUUUCUUAAGAUCUGCAGGCCUCAUCCAACUAGGUGAACUCAUCCCAUGGAAGCAUUGAAGGUCCAGUUUUUGAAGUGUGGAAGGAAAUGCCCGAGGGGGGUUGCCCGACUGGAUGGUGAGUCACCUAGUAAAGAGCAUCCUCCCCAAGAUAUUGUCAAAUUUUGUCAAGGCUAAAAUGUUGUGAAAAGCAUUCAGGAGUCUUUCACCUCGUGCCAAAUAUUCAAUUUUCUAGGGUAUGCGUCUUGACACAUCGUUAUGAUAAUGAUGGCUUAUUGUCCUUGGAAUCUCCAAUAAGAAUCCUUAGGACUUUGGUUUUGAUAGGUUAGCAAAACUCUUUGGCAUGUCUUCUAAAGUACAACCCAUAACAUGUCCAAGUGUGUCAACCAUGCGAGUGAACCGAUCCCACCAGGGACCAACUCGAGAUUGUGGCAGGCUCUGAGAUCCAGGAUCCUCGUAUUAAUGAGAUCU